rnacentral:misc_RNA from 1 species
UCUAAGUUAUCUUAGCAGUCUAUUUAGAGUUCUCAACUAAAUGAUAGCAACUAAAUAUGAGGGUUGCGUUCGUUCUAGCACUUAAGCGUACGCUUCACAGCACGAACUGACGACGACCAUGCACCACCUGUGUCGGGAUAACCUCCGUUGAGUUUCUUCAACUUUGCCCUCCAUGUCAAACCUUGGUAAGGUUCUGCGCGUUGUAUCGAAUUAAACCACAUGCUCCACCGCUUGUGCGGGUCCCCGUCAAUUCCUUUGAGUUUUAGCCUUGCGACCGUAGUACCCAGGCGGAGCAUUUAAAGCGUUAGCUGCGACACUAAGCAAAAUGCCCAAUAUCUAAUGCUCAUCGUUUAGGGCGUGGACUAC